rnacentral:lncRNA from 1 species
AAAUCCAUAAAAAAAUAUCAAAUGACAAAAAAAAAAUAUUAAAAAUCAAAAUUAGGAACUAGAAUUUAUUUGGGGAAGAAUGCAAUUGGUCCCAUAUUUUUUAGAAUUAAAAUGAAGAAGAUAUGAAUUUUUGAAAAUAAUGGGAAUAAAAGAAAUAAAAUCGGAAAAUAAGAAAUUCAAAAAAACAAGGAGCGUCUGAUCAAGCCUCAUUAAUUGACGUGGCUGAUCAAACACUC